UACGAAGGGGGCUAGCGUUGCUCGGAAUCACUGGGCGUAAAGCGCGCGUAGGCGGAUCUGCAAGUCGGGGGUGAAAUCCCGAGGCUCAACCUCGGAACUGCCUUCGAUACUGCGGGUCUCGAGUCCGGGAGAGGUGAGUGGAAUUCCUAGUGUAGAGGUGAAAUUCGUAGAUAUUCGGAAGAACACCAGUGGCGAAGGCGGCUCACUGGCCCGGUACUGACGCUGAGGUGCGAAAGCGUGGGGAGCAAACAGG
rnacentral:rRNA from 1 species